GCGGGGGUUGCCCAGCCAGGUCAAAGGCGUAGCGUUCAGGGCGCUAUCUCGCAGGAGUACGAGGGUUCGAAUCCCUUCCCCCGCA
rnacentral:tRNA from 1 species